AUACGGAGGGUGCAAGCGUUAAUCGGAAUUACUGGGCGUAAAGCGCGCGUAGGCGGUUUGUUAAGUCAGAUGUGAAAGCCCCAGGCUCAACCUGGGAACUGCAUUUGAAACUGGCAGGCUAGAGUGUGGUAGAGGGAAGUGGAAUUUAAGGUGUAGCGGUGAAAUGCGUAGAUAUCUGAAGGAACAUCAGUGGCGAAGGCGACUUCCUGGACCAACACUGACGCUGAGGUGCGAAAGCGUGGGUAGCAAACAGGAUUAGAAACCCUAGUAGUCC
rnacentral:rRNA from 1 species